UGAACGCUGGCGGCGUGCCUAAUACAUGCAAGUCGAGCGAACGGACGAGAAGCUUGCUUCUCUGAUGUUAGCGGCGGACGGGUGAGUAACACGUGGAUAACCUACCUAUAAGACUGGGAUAACUUCGGGAAACCGGAGCUAAUACCGGAUAAUAUUUUGAACCGCAUGGUUCAAAAAUGAAAGACGGUCUUGCUGUCACUUAUAGAUGGAUCCGCGCUGCAUUAGCUAGUUGGUAAGGUAACGGCUUACCAAGGCAACGAUGCAUAGCCGACCUGAGAGGGUGAUCGGCCACACUGGAACUGAGACACGGUCCAGACUCCUACGGGAGGCAGCAGUAGGGAAUCUUCCGCAAUGGGCGAAAGCCUGACGGAGCAACGCCGCGUGAGUGAUAAAGGUCUUCGGAUCGUAAAACUCUGUUAUUAGGGAAGAACAUAUGUGUAAGUAACUGUGCACAUCUUGACGGUACCUAAUCAGAAAGCCACGGCUAACUACGUG
rnacentral:rRNA from 1 species